rnacentral:rRNA from 1 species
CGGCUAACUACGUGCCAGCAGCCGCGGUAAUACGUAGGUGGCAAGCGUUAUCCGGAAUUAUUGGGCGUAAAGCGCGCGCAGGUGGUUUCUUAAGUCUGAUGUGAAAGCCCACGGCUCAACCGUGGAGGGUCAUUGGAAACUGGGAGACUUGAGUGCAGAAGAGGAAAGUGGAAUUCCAUGUGUAGCGGUGAAAUGCGUAGAGAUAUGGAGGAACACCAGUGGCGAAGGCGACUUUCUGGUCUGUAACUGACACUGAGGCGCGAAAGCGUGGGGAGCAAACAGGAUUAGAUACCCUGGUAGUCCACGCCGUAAACGAUGAGUGCUAAGUGUUAGAGGGUUUCCGCCCUUUAGUGCUGAAGUUAACGCAUUAAGCACUCCGCCUGGGGAGUACGGCCGCAAGGCUGAAACUCAAAGGAAUUGACGGGG